AGAGUUUGAUCCUGGCUCAGGAUGAACGCUGGCGGCGUGCCUAACACAUGCAAGUCGAACGAAGCACCUUGCCUGAUUCUUCGGAUGAAGGUCUGGUGACUGAGUGGCGGACGGGUGAGUAACGCGUGGGUAACCUGCCCUGUACAGGGGGAUAACAGUUGGAAACGGCUGCUAAUACCGCAUAAGCGCACGAGAGGACAUCCUCUUGUGUGAAAAAACUCCGGUGGUACAGGAUGGGCCCGCGUCUGAUUAGCUGGUUGGCAGGGUAACGGCCUACCAAGGCGACGAUCAGUAGCCGGUCUGAGAGGAUGAACGGCCACAUUGGAACUGAGACACGGUCCAAACUCCUACGGGAGGCAGCAGUGGGGAAUAUUGCACAAUGGGGGAAACCCUGAUGCAGCAACGCCGCGUGAGUGAAGAAGUAUUUCGGUAUGUAAAGCUCUAUCAGCAGGGAAGAUAAUGACGGUACCUGACUAAGAAGCUCCGGCUAAAUACGUGCCAGCAGCCGCGGUAAUACGUAUGGAGCAAGCGUUAUCCGGAUUUACUGGGUGUAAAGGGUGCGUAGGUGGCAGUGCAAGUCAGAUGUGAAAGGCCGGGGCUCAACCCCGGAGCUGCAUUUGAAACUGCAUAGCUAGAGUACAGGAGAGGCAGGCGGAAUUCCUAGUGUAGCGGUGAAAUGCGUAGAUAUUAGGAGGAACACCAGUGGCGAAGGCGGCCUGCCGGACUGUUACUGACACUGAGGCACGAAAGCGUGGGGAGCAAACAGGAUUAGAUACCCUGGUAGUCCACGCCGUAAACGAU
rnacentral:rRNA from 1 species